rnacentral:rRNA from 1 species
AGCUCCAAUAGCGUAUAUUAAAGUUGUUGCAGUUAAAAAGCUCGUAGUUGAAUAUCUGGUGUAAUGCGGCUGGCCCGCCUCAAUAGAGUGUGUGCGCCGGCAUGCGUUUGCCAUCCUUCUAGAAAAAGUUUCAAACUUUAUUGGUUGAUUCUGGAUCUAGAUCUUUUACUUUGAAAAAAUUAGAGUGUUCAAAGCAGGCUUUUGCCGUGAAUACAUUAGCAUGGAAUAAUAAUCUAGGACUUCGGUUCUAUUUUGUUGGUUUCUAUAACUGAAGUAAUGAUUGAUAGGGAUAGUUGGGGGUGCUAGUAUUCAGCGGCCAGAGGUGAAAUUCUUGGAUUCGCUGAAGACUAACUUAUGCGAAAGCAUUCACCAAGGAUAUCUUCUUUAAUCAAGAACGAAA